AGAGAGUAGACCGCCAACCCCGAUUUAUCGGGCGGUAAGGGUGAAAGGGUGCGGUAAGAGCGCACCGCGUGCGUGGUAACACGUUACGGCUUGGUAAACCCCACCUGGAGCAAGACCAAAUAGGAACCCAUUAGGUGCUGCCCGCACUGGGUUCGGGUAGGUCGCAAGAGGUCUGUGGCGACGCAGACCCUAGAUGAAUGACUGUCCACGACAGAACCCGGCUUAUGUGGCGGGCUUUCUC
rnacentral:RNase_P_RNA from 1 species